GACGAACCGUCCAAACGUUAUUCGGAAUCACUGGGCUUAAAGGGUGCGUAGGCGGAGAGGCAAGUCAGAGGUGAAAGCCCACGGCUCAACCGUGGAAGUGCCCCUGAAACGGCCUCUCUCGAGGGAGAUAGGGGCGUGCGGAACUCAGAGUGGAGCGGUGAAAUGCGUAGAUAUUCUGAGGAACGCCGGUGGCGAAAGCGGCACGCUGGGUCUUUGCUGACGCUGAGGCCCGAAAGCUAGGGGAGCAAACGGG
rnacentral:rRNA from 1 species